rnacentral:RNase_P_RNA from 1 species
GGUGGCGGGCAGAUGGCCGCGACCGGGACGUCCCGGCCGAGGAAAGUCCGAGCUCCAAAGAGCAGGGCGCCGGGUAACCCCCGGCGAGGGAAACCUCAGGGAGAGUGCCACAGAAAUACACAGCCGGCGGGGCGCCCGUCGGCAACGGUGAAAUGGUGGGGUAAGAGCCCACCGGCGGCCGGGUGACCGGCCGGCCAGGUAAACCCCGUCCGGAGCAAGACCCGGCAGGGUGCGGGUGGCGACACCCCUGGACUGCUCGUCCAGAUGCACCCGGGUGGGUCGCUGGAGGUGGCGGGCGACCGCCACCGUAGAUGGAUGGCCAUCGCCCCUCGGGGGGAGUCCCGCCGCGCGGGAGGCCCGGGGGGCACAGAACUCGGCUUACCGCUCGCCUUCCCCA